AUUGAACGCUGGCGGCAGGCCUAACACAUGCAAGUCGAACGAGUGGCGGACGGGUGAGUAAUGUAUGGGAAACUGCCUGAUGGCGGGGGAUAACUACUGGAACCGGUAGCUAAUACCGCAUACCAUCGGAUGUGCCCAGAUGGGAUUCGCUAGUUGGUGGGGUAAAGGGUGACCUAGGCGACGAUCCAUAGCUGGUCUGAGAGGAGGACCAGCCAAACUGGAACUGUGACACGGUCCAGACUCCGAAGGUAGGCAGCAGGGGGGAAAAUUGCACAAUGGGCGCAAGCCUGAUGCAUCAUAUCCGGGUGUAUGGAGAAGGCCUUGGGGUUGUAAAGUACUUUCAGCGGGGAGGCGUUACCCGCAGAAGAAGCACCGGCUAACUCCGUGCCAGCAGCCGCGGUAAUAC
rnacentral:rRNA from 1 species